ACACAAGCUAAGCGUCUCAAAGCCAAUUCGGUGAAGGAUGGUCAAUCGCUUGUCCUAACCAUGGAUGAUCAUGAGGAGAUAACGGAUGAAUAUAAAGGCGAGAAGGUUUGGUGGAUUUCGAGCAAAAAACCAGCGAGCAGGCAGACAAUAUCUUUGUAUAAGGAGGAUGAGAAGAGAUAUUUCAAGCUAAAAUUUCACAAAAAGAAUCGCGACCUUGUCACAAAUUCAUACUUGAAGUAUGUGUUGGAUGAAGGAAAGGCGAUAUCUGUGAAAGAACGACAGAGAAAGCUGUACACGAACAAUAAGGGAGAUGGAGGUGGUUAUAGAUACAGGGGAGGGAGGAUGUGGAGUGGAGUAGUAUUCGAGCAUCCGUCAACAUUUGAUACUCUAGCUAUGGAUCCAAACAAGAAGCAAGAGAUCAUAGAUGAUCUCGAAACAUUUAGCAAGUCAAAAGACUAUUACGCAAAGAUUGGUAAGGCGUGGAAGCGUGGUUAUCUUCUUUAUGGUCCUCCAGG
rnacentral:misc_RNA from 1 species